UUUCGCAAUGCCCGAAAGGGUGACGAAGCGACGCCGCGUGCGGGAAGAAGGCCUUCGGGUUGUAAACCGCUGUCGGGAGUUAAGAAAUGUAAGGAUGUUAAUAGCAUCUUUGCUUGACUAAGGCUCCGGAGGAAGCCACGGCUAACUCUGUGCCAGCAGCCGCGGUAAUACAGAGGCGGCAAGCGUUGUUCGGAAUUAUUGGGCGUAAAGAGCACGUAGGCGGCUAUGUAAGUCGGUUGUGAAAGCCUUCCGCUCAACGAGAGAACAGCAUCCGAUACUGCAUGGCUUGAGUGCGGGAGGGGAGAGUGGAACUUCUGGUGGAGCGGUGAAAUGCGUAGAUAUCAGAAGGAACGCCGGCGGCGAAAGCGGCUCUCUGGCCCAUAACUGACGCUGAGUGUGCGAAAGCUAGGGGAGCAAACGGGAUUAGAUACCCCGGUAGUCCUAGCCGUAAACGAUGGGCACUAAGUAGAGGGGUUUUAAUCUC
rnacentral:rRNA from 1 species